rnacentral:rRNA from 1 species
AACACGUGAGCAACCUGCCCUCCACUUCGGGAUAAGCCUUGGAAACGGGGUCUAAUACCGGAUAUGAGCAUCUGCCGCAUGGUGGGUGUUGGAAAGUUUUUCGGUGGGGGAUGGGCUCGCGGCCUAUCAGCUUGUUGGUGGGGUGAUGGCCUACCAAGGCGUCGACGGGUAGCCGGCCUGAGAGGGCGACCGGCCACACUGGGACUGAGACACGGCCCAGACUCCUACGGGAGGCAGCAGUGGGGAAUAUUGCACAAUGGGCGAAAGCCUGAUGCAGCGACGCCGCGUGAGGGAUGACGGCCUUCGGGUUGUAAACCUCUUUCAGCAGGGAAGAAGGCCUUCGGGUGGACGGUACCUGCAGAAGAAGCGCCGGCUAACUACGUGCCAGCAGCCGCGGUAAUACGUAGGGCGCAAGCGUUGUCCGGAAUUAUUGGGCGUAAAGAGCUCGUAGGCGGUCUGUCGCGUCUGGUGUGAAAACCCGAGGCUCAACCUCGGGCUUGCAUCGGGUACGGGCAGACUAGAGUGCGGUAGGGGAGACUGGAAUUCCUGGU